rnacentral:rRNA from 1 species
GACGUAGGGGACGAGCGUUGUCCGGAUUCAUUGGGCGUAAAGCGCGCGUAGGCGGUUUGGUAAGUCGGAUGUGAAAACUCGAGGCUCAACCUCGAGACGUCGGCGGAAACCAUCUGGCUAGAGUCCGGAAGAGGAGAGUGGAAUUCCUGGUGUAGCGGUGAAAUGCGCAGAUAUCAGGAAGAACACCCGUGGCGAAGGCGGCUCUCUGGGACGGUACUGACGCUGAGACGCGAAAGCGUGGGGAGCGAACAGG